GAGGUCUGACUAAAGAUAUAAUUUUGGAGUCUGGCAGGACAUGCAGCAAUCUCCCUCUCAUUUUAGGAGGGCCAUCCUAAGAAUAGGGUUGGCUCUUAAACGCACAAGAGGACAAU
ensembl:scaRNA